rnacentral:rRNA from 1 species
GAUGAACGCUGGCGGCGUGCCUAAUACAUGCAAGUCGAGCGAACAGACGAGAAGCUUGCUCCUCUGAUGUUAGCGGCGGACGGGUGAGUAACACGUGGAUAACCUACCUAUAAGACUGGGAUAACUUCGGGAAACCGGAGCUAAUACCGGAUAAUAUUUUGAACCGCAUGGUUCAAAAGUGAAAGACGGUCUUGCUGUCACUUAUAGAUGGAUCCGCGCUGCAUUAGCUAGUUGGUAAGGUAACGGCUUACCAAGGCAACGAUGCGUAGCCGACCUGAGAGGGUGAUCGGCCACACUGGAACUGAGACACGGUCCAGACUCCUACGGGAGGCAGCAGUAGGGAAUCUUCCGCAAUGGGCGAAAGCCUGACGGAGCAACGCCGCGUGAGUGAUGAAGGUCUUCGGAUCGUAAAACUCUGUUAUUAGGGAAGAACAUAUGUGUAAGUAACUGUGCACAUCUUGACGGUACCUAAUCAGAAAGCCACGGCUAACUACGUG